rnacentral:rRNA from 1 species
UGAACGCUGGCGGCAUGCCUAACACAUGCAAGUCGAACGGUAACAGGACGCUGUGAUCCCCUCGGGGUGAACUUGUCGCUGACGAGUGGCGGACGGGUGAGUAAUGCUUGGGAAUCUGCCCAGUAGUGGGGGACAACACGAGGAAACUCGUGCUAAUACCGCAUACGUCCUACGGGAGAAAGUGGGGGAUCUUCGGACCUCACGCUAUUGGAUGAGCCCAAGUCGGAUUAGCUUGUUGGUGGGGUAACGGCCUACCAAGGCGACGAUCCGUAGCUGGUCUGAGAGGACGAUCAGCCACACUGGGACUGAGACACGGCCCAGACUCCUACGGGAGGCAGCAGUGGGGAAUAUUGGACAAUGGGGGCAACCCUGAUCCAGCAAUGCCGCGUGUGUGAAGAAGGCCUGCGGGUUGUAAAGCACUUUCAGUAGAGAAGAAAUGCCUAGAGUUAAUAACUCUGGGUCUUGACGUAACCUACAGAAGAAGCACCGGCUAACUCC